UACGAAGGGGGCUAGCGUUGUUCGGAAUUACUGGGCGUAAAGCGCACGUAGGCGGAUAUUUAAGUCAGGGGUGAAAUCCCAGAGCUCAACUCUGGAACUGCCUUUGAUACUGGCAAUCUAGAGUCCGGAAGAGGUGAGUGGAACUCCUAGUGUAGAGGUGGAAUUCGUAGAUAUUAGGAAGAACACCAGUGGCGAAGGCGGCUCACUGGUCCGGUACUGACGCUGAGGUGCGAAAGCGUGGGGAGCAAACAGG
rnacentral:rRNA from 1 species